rnacentral:rRNA from 1 species
AGAGUUUGAUCCUGGCUCAGAACAAACGCUGGCGGCGUGCCUAACACAUGCAAGUCGAACGUGAAAAUUCACUUCGGUGAAUGAGUAAAGUGGCGCACGGGUGAGUAACGCGUGGAUAAUCUGCCCUUCAGUCUGGAAUAACUCAUCGAAAGGUGGGCUAAUACCGGAUAACGCUGUUUUCACUUUGGUGAGACAGCCAAAGAGGGCCUCUAUUUAUAAGCUCUUGCUGAAAGAUGAGUCCGCGUACCAUUAGCUAGUUGGCAGGGUAAUUGCCUACCAAGGCGACGAUGGUUAGCUGGACUGAGAGGUUGGUCAGCCGCACUGGGACUGAGACACUGCCCAGACUCCUACGGGAGGCUGCAGUCGAGAAUCUUUUGCAAUGGGCGAAAGCCUGACAAUGCGACGCCGCGUGAGGGAUGAAGGUCUUCGGAUCGUAAACCUCUGUCAGGAGGGAUGAUGCUCAUUCGAUUUAAUAAAUCGAAUGAGUGACAGUACCUCCAAAGGAAGCCACGGCUAACUCCGUGCCAGCAGCCGCGGUAAUACGGAGGUGGCAAGCGUUACUCGGAUUUAUUGGGUGUAAAGGGCGUGUAGGCGGUUGCGCAAGUCGAACGUGAAAUCCCAUGGCUUAACCAUGGAACUGCAUUCGAAACUGCGCGACUCGAGUAUGGGAGAGGAGAGCGGAAUUCCCGGUGUAAGGGUGAAAUCUGUGGAUAUCGGGAGGAACACCAGUGGCGAAGGCGGCUCUCUGGCCCAUAACUGACGCUGAGAUGCGAAAGCGUGGGGAGCAAACAGGAUUAGAUACCCUGGUAGUCC